UAUACAUAUAUACUGCCACUCAACGUAACUUUUUAUGUGCAACAUAGCAGAAUGAUUGUGUUCCGUUCCAGAAAUAUCAGCACAACAAGCACGGCAACAACUUCGGCCACAGCAACAACAUCUUAAGCCGUUUCGCAUAAAAUUUCACACACCAUUUUAGCCAAGUGCCACAUUACCUGCACACAAGAUGGGACUCGACUCGCCCCCAGACUCGAAUGUCCUGUGAACCAAACCAAACCAAACCAAACCAAGCCAAGCCAAACCAAGGAGGAAGAAAAAUAAAACGCUGGAAAAAUGCUGGAAAACACGAAACUGAACAUAAAAAAUACCUUUUGACACAUGCAAGCAGAACCGAAUGGGGGCGUGGCCAGAGCCAAAAGUGUUGGCCAGUUGAGCAGCACGGGUGGAAAGGCUGAAAAUCGGCGGGCAAGAACUGAAAUGGCGCCAGCCAAACGAGCUGAAAGGAAAAGAAAAAUCUUGAAAAUUGCAUUUUAAGAAGAACUUCGUGUGGCCAUAAGGAAAAAAUCUAUAAAAACACAUAGCUACACAUGUAAGGGUUUAUAUACCAAUACCUAUAUAUAUAUAUAUAUAUAUAUAUAUGCCACAGUCCGACUGAAUGCAGACGGAAUGGUAACAGGAUACAGGGAAGCUCAAUCUGGCAGUGACUUGGGGCCACAAUAGCCAUUCGGUUAUCCAGUCGGUCAGCAAAGCAUCCAGGAGGACCAAUCCAAUACAAUUUUAACGGUAAUGUGGUCCAAAAGCAAGCGAUGGCGAAAUUGAUAUGGCCACC
ensembl:ncRNA lncRNA:CR44183 long non-coding RNA:CR44183